rnacentral:misc_RNA from 1 species
GGCUGCUAAUGGAACCCUUACGAUAAUGGCAUCAGGUACAGAUGAAGCUCUCAAACACAGUGGUUCGGUUCUUGCUGCAUUAAGUGAGAAGCUUUAUAUAAUAAAAGGAAGUUGUGGAGCUGGCAGUGCUGUUAAGAUGGUCAAUCAACUUCUUGCUGGAGUUCAUAUUGCAUCAGCUGCUGAGGCAAUGGCAUUUGGUGCUCGAUUGGGUCUUAAUACAAGACUUUUGUUUGAUGUCAUCACAAAUAGUGGGGGAACAUCUUGGAUGUUUGAGAACCGUGGGCCACACAUGAUAGAAAAUGAUUAUACGCCGCUGUCCGCACUUGACAUCUUCGUGA